GGAAUAUUGGUCAAUGGGCGAGAGCCUGAACCAGCCAAGUAGCGUGCAGGAUGACGGCCCUCCGGGUUGUAAACUGCUUUUAGUUGGGAAUAAAAAAAGGGACUUGUCCCUUCUUGUAUGUACCUUCAGAAAAAGGACCGGCUAAUUCCGUGUCAGCAGCCGCGGUAAUACGGAAGGUCCAGGCGUUAUCCGGAUUUAUUGGGUUUAAAGGGAGCGUAGGCGGAUUGUUAAGUCAGCGGUUAAAGGGUGUGGCUCAACCAUGCAUUGCCGUUGAAACUGGCGAUCUUGAGUGCAGACAGGGAUGCCGGAAUUCGUGGUGUAGCGGUGAGAUGCUUAGAUAUCACGAAGAACUCCGGUCGCGAAGGCAGGUGUCCGGGCUGCAACUGACGCUGAGGCUCGAAAGUGUGGGUAUCAAACAGGA
rnacentral:misc_RNA from 1 species